AGGUUCGACGCCUCUGCCAAGUACGAAUCACAAGAAGACUAUGCCAUUCUAUCAGGCGACGGUAAACAGGCGCGUCUUUACCAACUCGAGCAUCCAUACCAGGGCGAAGCCUACUACUUCGAGGAAGUGGCUGAUACGGAUGGCUAUACGGUCUUCAAGAUUUACGACACUGACGAAACCUGCACAAACGCCGAAGCCCUUCGCAACGAGGUCUGCCCUGAGCCAUGCGACUUGGAAUACGUACGUUGAAGAUUCCGCACACACAAUAACAAGUAUAACAACGAAAAUUAA